AGAUAGAAGAAGUUUCCAGGUAGAGAAUUUUCGUUUAAGUUGUUGUAAGUCAAGUCAAGAACCUCCAGUGCUGGUAAAGAUCCAAACCCCCUUGGCAAGGUAUUUAAUCUGUUCAUGCCAAGAUUCAGGUGUUUGAGCUUCUGAAGGCUGCUAAUCUGUGUAGGCAGCUCCUCAAUCUGGUUGUUGAAAAAGUUGAGCACUUCUAUGUUUCUCAGGUCUGCGAUGUUUGCUGGUACAGUUGUAAGCUUGUUGUGACUCAAAACCAGCUGUGUGAUGUGAGACAACGUAAACAGGCCGGGCACGUCCAGCAUGUUGGAGAUGCCGCGGUCGCACAUGUCCACCUCGGGCUGGUUCUUCUCCCGGCUCUCCUCCACGAUCUUCUUCAGCGACUUGGACAUGGCGGCGCGGUGCAGCGGCGUCGGGUUGAGGCGGCGGUGGCGGUGACUGGGCGUGGCCCCGCUGCUGCACGCGCCCACCCCGGCCCUCCCCUGAGCUGAGCCCCUCCCGCGCGCAGACGCGCUGCCGCCCUGCCCGGGAAGCGGAGACCUCCCCGCGCUUCCGGAGAG
rnacentral:lncRNA from 1 species